rfam:Populus trichocarpa scaffold_1_contig_338, whole genome shotgun sequence.
UCUAAAACUCGAAAUAUAGGUUGAACACCAACACCAAACAACGUCUGAGUUGUAGGACAGACUCAGACUUCUCUUUGGUUGCUAAGAUUUGAACUUCAGAAUGACAAUAUUGAAUCUUGGACUCUUCAUAAAUGUUUUAGGUCUAUGUUUUAACUUUACAUA